rnacentral:tRNA from 1 species
UGUGACUUAGUUUAUUUAGAAUAAUCAACUUGCACUUGAUAGGAGAAAUUUUUCAGUGACGG